rnacentral:rRNA from 1 species
GAUGAACGCUGGCGGCGUGCUUAACACAUGCAAGUCGAACGGAAAGGCUCCUGCUUGCAGGGGUACUCGAGUGGCGAACGGGUGAGUAACACGUGGGUUAUCUGCCCUGCACUUCGGGAUAAGCCUCGGAAACUGGGUCUAAUACCGGAUAGGACCACAUUAUGGAUGGUGUGGUUGGAAGAUUUUCGGUGUGGGAUGAGCUCGCGGCCUAUCAGCUUGUUGUUGGGGUAUGGGCGUACCAAGGCGUCGACGGGGAGCCGGCCUGGGAGGGUGUACGGCGACAUUGGGACUGAGAGACGGCGCAGACGCCUAUGGGAGGCAGCGGUGGGGAGUAUUGCACAAUGGGCGCGCGCGUGAGGCGGAGACGCCGCGUGGGGGAUGACGGGCUUCGGGGGGUAAACACAUUUCGCUAUAGACGAAGCGCUAGUGACGGUACCUGGUGAAGAAGCACCGGCUAACUACGUG